rnacentral:lncRNA from 1 species
GGGAACAGGAACAAGAAAGCUUGUGACAUCUGACCACAUACAUGAAGAAGUCUCUCCUGGCACCAUAAAAAAGGAGACAUAACUUCAGGAGAGAAGAAAUUCAUGUUGGAGGAAGAAAGAAAAAUUUGGAGAAUCACAAGGACAUUGACAAACUAUGGUGCACGCAGAAGAGGUGUACCAAGAUGAUGAAAGACUGGAAAUCACACCCUUGGGACAGAUUAAAGGAACCAGGGAUGUUUAACCUGGAGAAAUGAAAACAUAUGGGGCAUGAGUCCUAAUAGAAAAAUGCGAAGGAAUGUGCACUUGGGAGGAGAAAGACCAGGAAGAAAAAGGGGGAUGGAAAGAGGAAGAAGGAGGUUGGUAUUGGGGAGAUCUAGAUAUUAUGCCACCUCCCCGCCCCCAGUUGUUUGCUUUGAUGUGCCAGUAAGUUUGUAUUUGAGUGCCACUAUCCUGAAAGAAAAAAAAUACUGAAUGCUUAACUUGUCUGAAACGUUCCAAUUCCUUGCUGAGAUAAGAUUUAAUACAGGUGACAGGCUUCCCUUUAGUGAGAGUACACUAUGUUGUGGGAGUUGGAAUUUGAGUUCUCUCUUCAAUGCAUAACUCUGCUGUCAACACUGAGCAGGAAGAAGCAGAAAGAGAAGCUCUCAGGGCCCUCUGGGAGUCUGGAGGGCUGUUAGGAAAGCUUCUGGGCAGUGAAGGGGAGAAAAUUACAGACUUCACCCUGGGCUAGAGCAAAAUACUCAAAAUACUGUGUGUUGGGUCUGAGAGAGAGAAACAGUCUGGUGCUAAUUUUUAAAUGCUUAAAUCUAAAUGGCUUUUGAUUAUGGGUAUAUUCCUUUGUAAAAUGGGCAAUGGGAAUUUGGGGGGAAAACCUGAAAAAUAUACAUAAGAACUUCCCAAAUGGAAAUGGUAUUUUUUCUAUUUGCUUUUUAAUUUCAACAAUGCAAAAUUUGUUACUACUUGCUGAAAAGAAAUGGAGUAAGAUGUUUUCUUAUACUUAUAUUCCUUUGUAAAAUGGGCAAUGGGAAUUUGGGGGGAAAACCUGAAAAAUAUACAUAGGAACUUCCCAAAUGGAAAUGAUAUUUUUUUCUAUUUGCUUUUUAAUUUCAACAAUGCAAAAUUUGUUACUACUUGCUGAAAAGAAAUGGAGUAAGAUGCUUUCUUAUACUUAUAUUGAAAUCUUAAGACUGUAGCAAUUAAUGAUAAUAACAAUUGAAAAUAUAUCUAUAAGAUACUAUUUUUCAGUAAUCUGGAACAAAUGAAAUUAACUGGUUCUAAUGUAUGCCUCUUUUUCUGGCCAACUUUGGUCCUGUUACUCCACUUUGCCAUAAGUCUCUUCCACAUAUAAGAGGUUCUUAAAAAUAGGUACUUCAUUCAUUUAUUUCCUUAUUUUUUCAAUUCAGUUCAAUAAAUAUUUAUGAAGAGUCCA